AGACGUGCACUGCAGCAGCACCGGGACUUGACAGCCCUACGGCUCGAUCAGCUUUCUGUUUUCAUUGCCUUACGAUGCCAUGAGUGGAACUAUUGUCAAAUCAGAGUUCACUCCCCAGCUUUUCAGUCUUUCCCCUAAUUCUUGCUCUAUCAGAGGUCGAGGACAACAGUAUAAUGAUUCAUAGGUUCUACUUCCUGGCAAGUAAUCAUUUUCCCACGGGCCCUUGUGAAUUGAUGAAUAUGAAGACACUAAGAAAGCAGAAAUAGAACUGAGAAGAAUGAAAUAACUGUCUCUACCUUUCUCGAAUUGUCUAAUAUGGAAAGAAUGAAAGACAGCUAAUAAGCAACUCUCUGCAAGAAGACAUAUGGCUUAGGUUCUGCUGAGCUAUUGGUGAUUUGAUUCCAUGCAUAUGUAUUCACUACUGGUAUAAGUAUAUACAAUAUAUGUGUUUCUGCAAAGAAUCGUAGACUUGAUGCAUUUUUUAAUAUUUCUUAAGGACUUACUACUGAGUGUCAGUAUGAGAGGAUCGUUUACUUCCUUUUCCCAUUAAUUUUGAUAGCCUGGAUUGAGCAACUUUCUUACCUAGUUUUGUUUUAUGAGGUGCAUUAGCUUUUUCUUUGUGUGUAUGUUUGUGUGUGUGUAGCUUUAUUAACCAUAUUGUUUGGGCUUUUGAUAAAGCAGAGAUUCUGAUAUGGUAUACAUUUUGAACUAAGCAUUCAUUUAUUCAGCAGGGAUGUAUGUUUAAGACACUGUGUUAGCCAAGGGUGAGAAGGCGUGUGGAAUGGUAGAGGAGCAAGGUGAGGUAAGAUGAUUAAAAGACACCAGCUGAGAGUGUUAUUUUAUAUGGCAGAAGGAUGUUUGCAGAUGCAAUUAAGUUAAGGACCUUGAGAUGGGGUAUGUUAUCCUGGUAGGCCCAAUGUAUACAUCAGGGUCCUUAUGAAAGGGAGGCAGGAGAACAGAAUGAGUAGUGAGAAGAGUGAAUGGACAAUACUGAGGACAUGCUUAGGGACCCAAAGAAGCUUGCUAUGGUAGGGCUUGGUGGACUCUGUACUGAUGAGAAAGGCUAGGCCAUGCUAUGGAAGCAAAUAAAUCUGUUGUAAAGUGACAGAGUUUCUCUCUUGCUCAUGCAAAGUCUGCUAAAUGGCUGAGUGAUUCUCAAGGGCAUCCCUCACUCAUGUGAUGGCUCUGCUGUGUGUGCAUCCCUGCUAGCCAGGCAGGUCAGGAGAAUGUUAGAAAUGAAACACUUCCUUCUGGUGGCCAAAAGAAGUCACAUGGCUACAUCUGUUAAUAAUUCGAAGGUUGUAGACAGUAUAAUAUUCCCUUGUCCUAAAAGAGGGAAGCUAGAAAUAUUGGUAAGCAGCACAUAUAUCUUCCCCAUGAUCCCAACUUUGUUGGGUAGAGAAGCAUUUUAAAUAACUUUGGAAUUUACAUAUAUUCCUCAAAUAUCUAGUGGUAACUCCAUGUCUAAAUCCAGGGUACCCACUUUCUUCCCUAAACAUGUUUGAAAGUCCUGCAUUCUCUCAGUAUUGUUACAGAGCCACAUUUCAGUUGAAUUGGUAGUGCUGAGAAAAGCGUUAUUUAUUUUAUUUUUAUUUUAGUUUUUUUUAGAGACUGGGUUUUGCUGUGUUGCCCCGGCUGAUCUUGCACUCCUGGUCUCAAGUGCUCCUCCUAUCUCAGCCAUCCGAAUAGCUGGUAUUACAUGUGCACACCAUAAUGAGAAAAGCAUUAUGAUUAACCUAGUAAAUUGAUUUUUAAUACUGCAUUAUUUGAUUUUCAAGGACUUAAAAAACCACUUCCAGAGAGCUAGACACAAUGAAUACAAGCAAGCUAAUAAUGAAAGUGAGAAACCACAUGCUGCUGAAUUGACACACACAAAAAUGCAGAUGUGGCCAGGUGCAGUGGCUCACGUCUGUAAUCCUAGCACUUUGGGAGGCUGAGGAAGGCGGAUCACCUGAGGUCAGGAGUUCGAGACCAGCCUGGCCAACAUGGUGAAACCCCAUCUCCAUUAAAAAUACAAAAAUUAGCCGGGCAUGGUGGCAUGCACCUGUAAUCCCAGCUACUUGGGAGGCUGAGGCAGGAGAAUCACUUGAACCUAGGAGGGGGAGGUUGCAGUGAGCCAAGAUCGCACCACUGCACUCCAGCCUGGGCGACAGAGCGAGAAUCCAUCUAAAGAAAAAAAUGCAGAUGAAGGGCCUGCCUUGAUUGUCCUGUGAACAGUUUGUGUGCAGUGGGGAGGCUGAAGGUCUGGCCUCCUUUGCUUCUGGUGUCUUCACCGCCACCACUUCUGCCCCUGUGUCUCUAUAUAGUGUAAGGGAUUGGUAUUAAUUAUUUCCCAUUUUACAGAUGAGGAAACUGAAAUCCAGAGAAAUGGAGUGAGUUGGCCAAGUGCACACAGCUCAUUUCUUACCUAGUAUUUACUGUUCACACACUGUAUAGACCCUUUAAUAAGCUAAUCUAAAAGAUUAAUCUAAAAGAUUAGAUACAUUACCUCGUUUCAGUGCCACUAUAGCCUGGCAUUGUACAUAUCACUAUCUUCCUGUCGAAUAGGAAGGUUCUUAAAUUCUGAGACAUUUGGUAACAUGCCUGAGUUAUGUGUAAAAGCUUAGAUUUGAAUUUGAGCCUCCUGACUUGAAUCUUGCGUUUGACCAUACCACAUCUGCACCUAGCUGUUGGAGGAAUCAGAACGCCCAAGACCCAGAUAACUCUAAAUAAGGCCCAGUCUGAGUCGUGCUUCAUGGUUAGGUUCAUAAGUUCAGUGCUGAAAAGGCUGAUUUUUCCUGUUUUUCUAGGGUCUGUUUGCUGGAUUUAAGAUACGCUCUCUCCAGAAAUAUGACAAAACAAUUGUUUUGUUUGCUCAUUUUUUGUUUUGUUUUGUUUUUCGUUCUUACAAGGUAACUAGUAUCCCUAGCACACCAGAAAUAAUUGGCACUGAUGUUCCUGACAAGAGGAGUCUGCUAAAAGUGACCUUUAAAUGCCUUUUGGUGGAGUGAUUAUUUA
rnacentral:lncRNA from 1 species